AUACAGUACUUAUGGAAAACAAAUGUUAGUUGGAACGGUUCUGUUUUUCAGGGUACACGAUUUUUUUAAGAACCAGAUACCAUCUUUAUCCUGUCAGGCAGUAAAUUAUGCACUUGCACUUUCAUAAACUCCCCCCUUGGGAACUUAGUCAAUGAAAUGGAAAUGUCUUUUUCACACCCUCCGAGUGCAGAGGCAUACAGUCAAACAGCUAACUUGGUUAAAGCCGAGCGUCUGGAGGGAAUCCGCAGCACGCGUGGAUUAAUUGUGGCCUCGCUGUGUGUAUUGUUCAGCAUGUGCUCACAUGGUGCAUUGAACCGUGAAUCAGAUCUUUCAUCUUUUCUGGUUGUGCCACACUCUGCUCUCUCCACAUCCCAGCAGCAGCCCCGAGGCGAUGGAAGCUUCGUGGUGCUUCGGGGGACUCUUGUAGGUACGGCACUGAGCCCUGCGGGUUCCUUCGCUUAAACAUCUCAUCAUUCAACAUAGGUGCUCACUGUCGAAAGGCUGUCUAUAUUUUUCUCUUAGGUAUGCAAAAAUAAGCACCAGUGAGUGAAGAUGAAAGGAAAAGGUUGCUGGCUCCUUCCCCGGAGAUCGUAUUUCUUACUUGUUGCAUAACUGCUUAUUUUAGCAUCCAUCAGCUGAGCCUUUGUUGUGUAGACAAUUCUGUCCUUUUAGAGGAUUUGUGCAGUAUUAUUUCUCCCCAAAUGCUUUUUUUGUUGCUUUUAUUAUUAGAUUUAUCUCUUCUCUGACAACACCGUGUCAGAGCUCUCUGUAACGCAUGCCGUACAUGCUAUGAAACAGAGCAUCAUAUAUAUCAUAUGCUUGUGACCUUCCUGUAGUAAAACCACCCACCAGGUAUAAGCUCUGUGUAUACUCUAUGUAUGUGUUACAUAUAUGGGCUCAUAUACAAAUUUGGGAUCAAUGGACAUAUAUGGUAAGCAAAAUCUGGUCGGUGAUCAAAUGCUCAAGAAUGAGAAGCAUGAGAAUUCUUGGUGCCGGUGCAGCUCCAUGGAUGUUCAUUCACUGAAGCAGAGAACUCUUUCACUGCAGGUUUCCUU
rnacentral:lncRNA from 1 species